rnacentral:rRNA from 1 species
CAAAGAGGGGGACCUUCGGGCCUCUUGCCAUCGGAUGUGCCCAGAUGGGAUUAGCUAGUAGGUGGGGUAACGGCUCACCUAGGCGACGAUCCCUAGCUGGUCUGAGAGGAUGACCAGCCACACUGGAACUGAGACACGGUCCAGACUCCUACGGGAGGCAGCAGUGGGGAAUAUUGCACAAUGGGCGCAAGCCUGAUGCAGCCAUGCCGCGUGUAUGAAGAAGGCCUUCGGGUUGUAAAGUACUUUCAGCGGGGAGGAAGGGAGUAAAGUUAAUGCCUUUGCUCAUUGACGUUACCCGCAGAAGAAGCACCGGCUAACUCCGUGCCAGCAGCCGCGGUAAUACGGAGGGUGCAAGCGUUAAUCGGAAUUACUGGGCGUAAAGCGCACGCAGGCGGUUUGCUAAGUCAGAUGUGAAAUCCCCGGGCUCAACCUGGGAACUGCAUCUGAUACUGGCAAGCUUGAGUCUCGUAGAGGGGGGUAGAAUUCCAGGUGUAGCGGUGAAAUGCGUAGAGAUCUGGAGGAAUACCGGUGGCGAAGGCGGCCCCCUGGACGAAGACUGACGCUCAGGUGCGAAAGCGUGGGGAGCGAACAGGAUUAGAUACCCUGG